CAGAGUUCAUGCCCUUCGGGGUAGACCUCCACCCUUGCUUAUUUUACCAUGUUGCUUUGGCGGGACGCUUCUGCCACCGACUUCGGUUGGUGUGUGCCCGCCAGAGAACCCCAAACUCUGAAUUACAUGUCGUCUGAGUACUAUAUAAUAGUUA
rnacentral:misc_RNA from 1 species